UCACUCCUGAGAUUCCAGAGGCACCUUGGAGAGGUUGGGAUAUGGAGGUGUCACUGUCACCCCAGGGAUUCCAGAGGCACCAUCUGACCUUGGAGAAGUUGGGAUAUGGAGGUGUUGCUGUCACUUCAGAGGCAUCAUCUGACCUAGGAGAAGUUGGGAUAUGGAGGCAUUGCUGUCACUCCAGAGGCACCAGUUCACCUUGGAGAAGUUGGGAUAGGGAGAUUUCAUUGUCACCCCAGGGAUUCCAGAGGCACCUUGGAGAAGUUGGGAUAUGGGGGUGUCACUGUCACCCCAGAGAUUCCAGACACAGCAGCUGACCUUGGAGAAGGUGGGAUAGGGAGGCAUUGCUGUCACUCCAGAGGCAGCAGUUCACCUUGGAGAAGUUGGGAUAGGGAGAUUUCAUUGUCACCCCAGGGAUUCCAGAGGCACCUUGGAGAAGUUGGGAUAGGGAGGUGUCACUGUCACUCCUGAGAUUCCAGAGACAGCAGCUGACCUUGGAGGAGUGGGGAUAGGGAGGCAUU